GUUAGCUCAAUUGGUAGAGCGCUCCACCUGUAAUGGAGAGGUCCCGGGUUCGAUACCCGGACCAGGCG
rfam:Ixodes scapularis strain Wikel colony gcontig_1108378449736, whole genome shotgun sequence.